GUCAGCUGACUUCUCUUCCUUCUCCGUGUCAGCUGACUUCUCUUCCUUCUCCGUGUCAGCUGACUUCUCUGCCUUCUCUGUGUCAGCUGACUUCUCUUCCUUCUCCAUGUCAGCUGACUUGUCUUCCUUCUCUGUGUCAGCUGACUUCUCUUCCUUCUCCGUGUCAGCUGACUUCUCUGCCUUCUCUGUGUCAGCUGACUUCUCUUCCUUCUCCAUGUCAGGUGACUUCUCUGCCUUCUCCGUGUCAGCUGACUUCACUUCCUUCUCCAUGUCAGCUGACUUCUCUGCCUUCUCUGUGUCAGCUGACUUCUCUUCCUUCUCCGUGUCAGCUGACUUCUCCUCUUUCUCCGUGUCAGCUGACUUCUCUUCCUUCUCGGUGUCAGCUGACUUCUCCUCCUUCUCUGUGUCAGCUGACUUCACCUCCUUCCCAGUGUCAGCUGACUUCUCUUCCAUCUCCGUGUUAGAUG
rnacentral:lncRNA from 1 species